rnacentral:rRNA from 1 species
GGGUUGUGAGGUUAAGCGACUAAGCGUACACGGUGGAUGCCCUGGCAGUCAGAGGCGAUGAAGGACGUGCUAAUCUGCGAUAAGCGUCGGUAAGGUGAUAUGAACCGUUAUAACCGGCGAUUUCCGAAUGGGGAAACCCAGUGUGAUUCGUCACACUAUCAUUAACUGAAUCCAUAGGUUAAUGAGGCGAACCGGGGGAACUGAAACAUCUAAGUACCCCGAGGAAAAGAAAUCAACCGAGAUUCCCCCAGUAGCGGCGAGCGAACGGGGAGCAGCCCAGAGCCUGAAUCAGUGUGUGUGUUAGUGGAAGCGUCUGGAAAGGCGCGCGAUACAGGGUGACAGCCCCGUACACAAAAAUGCACAUGCUGUGAGCUCGAUGAGUAGGGCGGGACACGUGGUAUCCUGUCUGAAUAUGGGGGGACCAUCCUCCAAGGCUAAAUACUCCUGACUGACCGAUAGUGAACCAGUACCGUGAGGGAAAGGCGAAAAGAACCCCGGCGAGGGGAGUGAAAAAGAACCUGAAACCGUGUACGUACAAGCAGUGGGAGCACGCUUAGGCGUGUGACUGCGUACCUUUUGUAUAAUGGGUCAGCGACUUAUAUUCUGUAGCAAGGUUAACCGAAUAGGGGAGCCGAAGGGAAACCGAGUCUUAACUGGGCGUUAAGUUGCAGGGUAUAGACCCGAAACCCGGUGAUCUAGCCAUGGGCAGGUUGAAGGUUGGGUAACACUAACUGGAGGACCGAACCGACUAAUGUUGAAAAAUUAGCGGAUGACUUGUGGCUGGGGGUGAAAGGCCAAUCAAACCGGGAGAUAGCUGGUUCUCCCCGAAAGCUAUUUAGGUAGCGCCUCGUGAAUUCAUCUCCGGGGGUAGAGCACUGUUUCGGCAAGGGGGUCAUCCCGACUUACCAACCCGAUGCAAACUGCGAAUACCGGAGAAUGUUAUCACGGGAGACACACGGCGGGUGCUAACGUCCGUCGUGAAGAGGGAAACAACCCAGACCGCCAGCUAAGGUCCCAAAGUCAUGGUUAAGUGGGAAACGAUGUGGGAAGGCCCAGACAGCCAGGAUGUUGGCUUAGAAGCAGCCAUCAUUUAAAGAAAGCGUAAUAGCUCACUGGUCGAGUCGGCCUGCGCGGAAGAUGUAACGGGGCUAAACCAUGCACCGAAGCUGCGGCAGCGACGCUUAUGCGUUGUUGGGUAGGGGAGCGUUCUGUAAGCCUGCGAAGGUGUGCUGUGAGGCAUGCUGGAGGUAUCAGAAGUGCGAAUGCUGACAUAAGUAACGAUAAAGCGGGUGAAAAGCCCGCUCGCCGGAAGACCAAGGGUUCCUGUCCAACGUUAAUCGGGGCAGGGUGAGUCGACCCCUAAGGCGAGGCCGAAAGGCGUAGUCGAUGGGAAACAGGUUAAUAUUCCUGUACUUGGUGUUACUGCGAAGGGGGGACGGAGAAGGCUAUGUUGGCCGGGCGACGGUUGUCCCGGUUUAAGCGUGUAGGCUGGUUUUCCAGGCAAAUCCGGAAAAUCAAGGCUGAGGCGUGAUGACGAGGCACUACGGUGCUGAAGCAACAAAUGCCCUGCUUCCAGGAAAAGCCUCUAAGCAUCAGGUAACAUCAAAUCGUACCCCAAACCGACACAGGUGGUCAGGUAGAGAAUACCAAGGCGCUUGAGAGAACUCGGGUGAAGGAACUAGGCAAAAUGGUGCCGUAACUUCGGGAGAAGGCACGCUGAUAUGUAGGUGAAGUCCCUCGCGGAUGGAGCUGAAAUCAGUCGAAGAUACCAGCUGGCUGCAACUGUUUAUUAAAAACACAGCACUGUGCAAACACGAAAGUGGACGUAUACGGUGUGACGCCUGCCCGGUGCCGGAAGGUUAAUUGAUGGGGUCAGCGCAAGCGAAGCUCUUGAUCGAAGCCCCGGUAAACGGCGGCCGUAACUAUAACGGUCCUAAGGUAGCGAAAUUCCUUGUCGGGUAAGUUCCGACCUGCACGAAUGGCGUAAUGAUGGCCAGGCUGUCUCCACCCGAGACUCAGUGAAAUUGAACUCGCUGUGAAGAUGCAGUGUACCCGCGGCAAGACGGAAAGACCCCGUGAACCUUUACUAUAGCUUGACACUGAACAUUGAGCCUUGAUG